rnacentral:rRNA from 1 species
CCUGAUGCAGCCAUGCCGCGUGUGUGAAGAAGGCCUUCGGGUUGUAAAGCACUUUCAGUCGUGAGGAAGGCAUAUGCGUUAAUAGCGCAUGUGUUUGACGUUAGCGACAGAAGAAGCACCGGCUAACUCCGUGCCAGCAGCCGCGGUAAUACGGAGGGUGCGAGCGUUAAUCGGAAUUACUGGGCGUAAAGCGCAUGCAGGCGGCUUGUUAAGCCAGAUGUGAAAGCCCGGGGCUCAACCUCGGAAUAGCAUUUGGAACUGGCAGGCUAGAGUCUUGUAGAGGGGGGUAGAAUUUCAGGUGUAGCGGUGAAAUGCGUAGAGAUCUGAAGGAAUACCGGUGGCGAAGGCGGCCCCCUGGACAAAGACUGACGCUCAGAUGCGAAAGUUUGGGGAGCAAACAGGAUUAGAUACCCUGGUAGUCCACGCCGGAAACGAUGUCUACUUGGAGGUUGGUGUCUUGAACACUGGCUUUCGGAGCUAACGCGUUAAGUAGACCGCCUGGG